rnacentral:rRNA from 1 species
AUGGAUGGCGCGACGACCUUCUUCGCUUGGCAGGCGCUUGAGUCCGCCACCUCUCCAAGCGGCCUCCGCAAAGGGCUCAACUCCAUCGUCACUCUGACCGCUUGGGCCAUUUGGAAGCAUCAUAACGCCGUCAUCUUCGACGGCCUGCACACCGACGAUCUGGUGCUCUCCAUCCAGGAUGACGCUCGCCUAUGGGCUAAGGCCAGCACCAAGGGACUAGCCGCUAUUAUCCCUAUAACCUGA